rnacentral:rRNA from 1 species
AUCUCAACUCUCGCAUCGAUGAAGAGCACAACGAAAUGCGAUACAUGGUGUAAAUUGCAAGUUGCGCCCGAGGCCAACCGGCCAAGGGCCCGUCCGCCUAGGCAUUAAGCAUCGCGUCGCUCCAUGCCAAGU